rnacentral:rRNA from 1 species
CCCUUAGAUGUUCUGGGCCGCACGCGUGCUACACUGAGUAAAUCAAUGGGUAAGGGAACACGAAAGUGCAACCUAAUCUUGAAAUUUGCUCGUGAUGGGGAUCGACGGUUGCAAUUUUCCGUCGUGAACGAGGAAUACCUUGUAGGCGCGUGUCAUCAUCACGCGCCGAAUACGUCCCUGCCCUUUGUACACACCGCCCGUCGCUCCUACCGAUUGAGUGAUCCGGUUAGGCUCUGGGACCUGGACGGAAAGAGCGUUUCGCUUGUUCUGUUUGGGAAACUUGGUCGAACCUUAUCAUUUAGAGGAAGGAGAAGUCGUAACA